UACGUAGGGGGUUAGCGUUGUCCGGAAUCAUUGGGCGUAAAGAGCGUGUAGGCGGCUCGGUAAGUCCGCUGUAAAAGUCAAAGGCUCAACCUUUGAAUGUCAGUGGAUACUGCCGGGCUAGAGUCCGGAAGAGGCGAGUGGAACUCCUGGUGUAGCGGUGAAAUGCGCAGAUAUCAGGAGGAACACCAAUUGCGAAGGCAGCUCGCUGGGACGUUACUGACGCUGAGACGCGAAAGCGUGGGGAGCAAACAGG
rnacentral:rRNA from 1 species